GGAAUAUAUAGAAACUAAAAUCAGUGUCUAUGGCCUCCAAGAGAUUCCAAAUUAUCUUGAAUCUAAAAAUCAGAGAAGUCACAUAGAAGAAAUCAAAAUUAAUCCUUCUGCUGAUGAGCUCAUGGAACUCACUGAAUCUUUAAAAAGUGAUUUAGCCAAAUUCAUUUUUAAAAGAAAUUGCCCAAAGGUCUGUGAGAUGAAAUUUAAUUGAAGUCAAGGUUGACAUCCUUCUCACCCCCAUUAGAAGCUCAAACUCAAAGGCCUUUGACUGAUUUAGACCUUUGACCUCGGAAUACAAGUAGACCCGAUAGAGGUUUGUGUGAGUUUGUCAAUUGACAUAGUGAAUACUCAGAUACAAGAAUGAAAGUCACAGAGAGCAUGGAGGGACUUUAAUUAAACAGUUUCUUUUCUCAUUCCUGUCCCAGGGAAAUCACCUAAGUUAUAAACUACAGGAAUAAGAACUACAAAGAUGAAGAAAAGCUCAGGGCUUGAUGUGCACAGCGAUUCUCAACUGCCUGCGUCUGUCUUUUCUCUCAAAUCCCUGGGGAGAAGAAGAAAAAUAGACAUGGGAAGCCAGGAAGUGGGCAGGAAGACGGAGAAAGAACUCUGUACAAAAUGUAAAGAUACAAGAGAUUUAGGGCUACGAUCUUUCACUAAAUGAGUGACUGAAGAGACUCCUGUAAUUUGCCUGUUUCCUCUUAAUUGGAAAGAAUAUGGGGGUUGAGGCAAAAUCUUUCAAGAUGAAUAAUAGAGAUUAACAAAUGGUUAUGAUAUUUGCUGUUGUCCCCUCUCUGUGCUUCAGUUUUCUACAUAAUCUCCAUCCUAUAAUAUCAGAGUUGGAAUCGACCUGAACAGCUAUCUAGUCCCAUUUAGUCCUGAAAAAGAAUCAUCUCCACAUCAUGUUCAACUCUCUUCCUGCAGCCUUUGUGUGAAGAUCUUCAAUUAGAGGAAAGUCACUCCAUCCUGAGACAACCUAGUCUGCCAAGCUAUUUUUUAUCCUGAUUUACAAUGACCUCUUUGCAGCUUAUACUCCAACUCUGCCUGGAAUGACAAGAUUUUUUCCACUCGAAUUUCAAAAGCAUCACCGUAAUCAAUCUCAAUACACUUCACAAGCACCAUAUACACAAAUCAUCAGCAAUAUGUCUCCCAGUAACUUACCAUGAGCCAUGCGAUGAAACCAAUAGUAGCCAAGGUCAACUCCUAAGAAGGUCAAAUACCAUGUCCAUAGAGAAUCCCAAGGCAGUUCGAAGAGUCUAUAAUUCUCCCAGACAUAAAUAUAAGCAGACAACUCAA